rnacentral:rRNA from 1 species
UAAAGGUAUUCCGGUAGACGAUGGGGAUGCGUUCCAUUAGAUAGUAGGCGGGGUAACGGCCCACCUAGUCUUCGAUGGAUAGGGGUUCUGAGAGGAAGGUCCCCCACAUUGGAACUGAGACACGGUCCAAACUCCUACGGGAGGCAGCAGUGAGGAAUAUUGGUCAAUGGGCGAGAGCCUGAACCAGCCAAGUAGCGUGAAGGAUGACUGCCCUAUGGGUUGUAAACUUCUUUUAUAAAGGAAUAAAGUCGGGUAUGGAUACCCGUUUGCAUGUACUUUAUGAAUAAGGAUCGGCUAACUCCGUGCCAGCAGCCGCGGUAAUACGGAGGAUCCGAGCGUUAUCCGGAUUUAUUGGGUUUAAAGGGAGCGUAGAUGGAUGUUUAAGUCAGUUGUGAAAGUUUGCGGCUCAACCGUAAAAUUGCAGUUGAUACUGGAUAUCUUGAGUGCAGUUGAGGCAGGCGGAAUUCGUGGUGUAGCGGUGAAAUGCUUAGAUAUCACGAAGAACUCCGAUUGCGAAGGCAGCCUGCUAAGCUGCAACUGACAUUGAGGCUCGAAAGUGUGGGUAUCAAACAGGACUAGAUACCCUGGUAGUCCACACGGUAAACGAUGAAUACUCGCUGUUUGCGAUAUACUGCAA